rnacentral:rRNA from 1 species
CGGGUGAGUAACACGUGGAUAACCUACCUAUAAGACUGGGAUAACUUCGGGAAACCGGAGCUAAUACCGGAUAAUACUUUGAACCGCAUGGUUCAAAAGUGAAAGACGGUCUUGCUGUCACUUAUAGAUGGAUCCGCGCUGCAUUAGCUAGUUGGUAAGGUAACGGCUUACCAAGGCAACGAUGCAUAGCCGACCUGAGAGGGUGAUCGGCCACACUGGAACUGAGACACGGUCCAGACUCCUACGGGAGGCAGCAGUC